AGGAGAUGUUUUCAUGUGGGGGGAAGGGACUGGUGAUGGUGUCCUGGGUGGUGGACCUCAUAGGAUUGACAGUUGUAAUGGUGUCAAAGUAGAUUCGUUGUUGCCCAAAGCUUUAGAGUCUGCAGUUGUACUAGAUGUCCAAAAUUUAGCUUGCAGUGGAAAACACGCAGCACUAGUAACAAAGCAGGGUGAGAUGUUCUCUUGGGGUGAGGAAUCAGGAGGCAGGCUUGGGCA
rnacentral:misc_RNA from 1 species